rnacentral:rRNA from 1 species
UAGGGAAUCUUCCGCAAUGGGCGAAAGCUUGACGGAGCAACGCCGCGUGAGUGAUGAAGGUCUUCGGAUCGUAAAACUCUGUUAUUAGGGAAGAACAAAUGUAUAAGUAACUAUGCACGUCUUGACGGUACCUAAUCAGAAAGCCACGGCUAACUACGUGCCAGCAGCCGCGGUAAUACGUAGGUGGCAAGCGUUAUCCGGAAUUAUUGGGCGUAAAGCGCGCGUAGGCGGUUUUUUAAGUCUGAUGUGAAAGCCCACGGCUCAACCGUGGAGGGUCAUUGGAAACUGGAAAACUUGAGUGCAGAAGAGGAAAGUGGAAUUCCAUGUGUAGCGGUGAAAUGCGCAGAGAUAUGGAGGAACACCAGUGGCGAAGGCGACUUUCUGGUCUGUAACUGACGCUGAUGUGCGAAAGCGUGGGGAUCAAACAGG